CGGACGGGUGAGUAACGCGUGAGAAUCUGCCCUCAGGAGGGGGAUAACGGCUGGAAACGGCCGCUAAUACCCCAUAUGCCGCGAGGUGAAAUGAAUUUCGCCUGAGGAUGAGCUCGCGUCUGAUUAGCUAGUUGGUGGGGUAAGAGCCUACCAAGGCAUCGAUCAGUAGCUGGUCUGAGAGGAUGAUCAGCCACACUGGGGCUGAGACACGGCCCAGACUCCUACGGGAGGCAGCAGUGGGGAAUUUUCCGCAAUGGGCGAAAGCCUGACGGAGCAACGCCGCGUGAGGGAUGAAGGCCUCUGGGCUGUAAACCUCUUUUAUCAAGGAAGAAGAUCUGACGGUACUUGAUGAAUAAGCCACGGCUAAUUCCGUGCCAGCAGCCGCGGUAAUACGGGAGUGGCAAGCGUUAUCCGGAAUUAUUGGGCGUAAAGCGUCCGCAGGCGGUCUUGUAAGUCUGUCGUUAAAGCGUGGAGCUUAACUCCAUUUCAGCGAUGGAAACUGCAAGACUAGAGUGUGGUAGGGGCAGAGGGAAUUCCCGGUGUAGCGGUGAAAUGCGUAGAUAUCGGGAAGAACACCAGUGGCGAAGGCGCUCUGCUGGGCCAUAACUGACGCUCAUGGACGAAAGCCAGGGGAGCGAAAGGGAUUAGAUACCCCUGUAGUC
rnacentral:rRNA from 1 species